rnacentral:rRNA from 1 species
UACGGAGGGUGCAAGCGUUAUCCGGAUUUACUGGGUUUAAAGGGUGCGUAGGUGGGUAGGUAAGUCAGUGGUGAAAUCUUCGAGCUUAACUCGGAAACUGCCAUUGAUACUAUUUAUCUUGAAUACUCUGGAGGUAAGCGGAAUAUGUCAUGUAGUGGUGAAAUGCUUAGAUAUGACAUAGAACACCAAUUGCGAAGGCAGCUUACUACAUAGUUAUUGACACUGAGGCACGAAGGCGUGGGGAUCAAACAGG